ACCUGGUUGAUCCUGCCAGUAGCAUAUGCUUGUCUCAAAGAUUAAGCCAUGCAUGUCUAAGUACAUGCCGUAUUAAGGCGAAACCGCGAAUGGCUCAUUAAAUCAGUUAUGGUUCCUUGGAUCGUACCUGACGCGUUACUUGGAUAACUGUGGCAAUUCUAGAGCUAAUACAUGCAGCCGAGCUCCGACCCUCCGGGGGACGAGCGCUUUUAUUAGAUUGUGACCGGCCCCUCCUCUCGGGGUGGGGAUCGGAAACGUGAACCGAAGCUGAGUAACUUUGGCAGAUCGCACGGGCCCGUCCCGGCGACGCAUCUUUCAAGUGUCUGCCCUAUCAACUGUCGACGGUAGGUCAUGCGCCUACCGUGGUCGCCACGGGUGACGGGGAAUCAGGGUUCGAUUCCGGAGAGGGAGCCUGAGAGACGGCUACCACAUCUAAGGAAGGCAGCAGGCACGCAAAUUACCCACUCCCGGCUCGGGGAGGUAGUGACGAAAAAUAACGAUACGGGACUCAUCGAGACCCGUGAUCGGAAUGAGUACGCUCUAAACCCCCUAACGAGGACCUACCGGAGGGCAAGACUAAUGCCAGCCGCUGCGGUAAUUUUAGCUCCGGUAGCGUAUACUAAAAUUGUUGCAGUUAAAAAGCUCGUAGUCGGACCUCUGCUCCGGACGCCGGGGGCCGCUCGCGCGGUCUCCCGCUGCGCUUCCGGGCAUUCUGCCCGCCACCUCGCGGGGUGAUUUUAAAAGGUCGUCCCCGGGUGGAAGGCGGUGAUCGCUUUGCAAAAAUUAGAGUGCUCAGAGCAGGCCCUGCCGCCUGGAUAGUAAUGCACGGAACGAUGGAAGACGCCCUCGGUCCCGGGUUUCCGUGGGAACAGGUCGACGGAGACCGAGGGAAUGAUCGAUAGGAGCAGACGGGGGCAUCCGUAUUCCGACGCUAGAGGUGAAAUUCUUGGACCGUCGGAAGACGACCCACUGCGAAGGCAUUUGCCAAGAAUGCUUCCAUUGACCAAGAACGAAAGUCAGAGGCUCAAAGAAGAUUAGAUACCUUUGUAGUUCUGACCGUAAACGAUACCCUCCAGCGAUCCGGCUGCGUACGAACGUGACGCGCCGGGCAGCUUGCCCGGGAAACCUGAGUUCAGGCUCCGGGGGAAGUAUGGUUGCAAAGCUGGAACUUAAAGGAAUUGACGGAGGGGCACUACCAGGAGUGGAGCCUACGGCUUAAUUUGACUCAACACGGGACAACUCACCCGGUCCGGACAUGUGCUCGAUGGACAGAUUGACAGCUCUUUCUAGAUUCCGUGGAUGGUGGUGCAUGGCCGCAGUUGGUUCGUGGGGUGACCUGUCUGGUUAAUUCCGAUAAACGAACGAGAUUCUCGCCUAUUAAAUAGGUGCCCUUCAUCCUAUCGCGAUGGAGGGGAACUUCUUAGAGGGACCGGCGGCUUCGAAGCCGUACGAGAGAGAGCGAUUGCAGGUCUGUGAUGCCCUUAGAUGUCCGGGGCCGCACGUGCGCUACAGUAGAGGGGACAACGUGCGAAGGUGCCUCGGCCGUCGGGCCUGGGUAACCCGAGCAGUCUCUCUCAGUGCUGGGGACAGGGGAUUGUAAUUAUUCCCCUCGAACGAGGAAUUCCCAGUAGGCGCGAGUCACUAACUCGUGCCGACUAAGUCACUGCCCUUUGUACACACCGCCCGUCGCUAUCUCCGAUUGAGCGGUGGAGUGAGGUCUUCGGACCAGCGCUCGGGCGACCUCUCCGGGGUCGAGUCGACGUGCCGGGAAGAUGACCGAACUUGGCCGCUUAGAGGAGGUAAAAGUCGUAACAAGGUUUCCGUAGGUGAACCUGUGGAAGGAUCAUU